rnacentral:tRNA from 1 species
GGAAGCGUAGCUCAGUUGGUUAGAGUACCUGCUUGACAUGCAGGGGGUCAGUGGUUCGAGCCCACCCGUUUCCACCA